rnacentral:misc_RNA from 1 species
UAGAGGAAUUGAGUAUCUUCACAACUAUGCAGUCCCACCCAUAAUUCAUAGAAAUAUUAAGUCUUCUAACAUAUUGCUGGACGCAAAUUGGGCAGCAAGAGUGUGUGAUUUUGGAAUGUCAGUGUUGGGUUCUGAAUCUGAAAGCAAUCACAAACUAGAGAAGGCAGCAGGAACAGUUGGAUACAUAGAUCCUGAAUUCUAUAGUCGAAAUGUAUUAACCACAAAAAGUGAUGUGUAUAGUCUUGGUGUAGUAUUACUAGAACUUUUGACAGGCAAGACAGCUGUAUUCAAGGAUGAAGACAAUGGAGAUGCAAUAAAAAGUAUAGUGGAUUUUGCAACAACUAAAAUUUUGGCCAAUGAAUUGGUCAAGGUUUUGGACAACAGGAUUGGUCCACCAAAACUUGUUAAAGAAGCAGAGGCAGUGGAACUAAUGGCAUGUACUGCACUUCAUUGUGUAAAUUU